UUGGAGGGCAAGUCUGGUGCCAGCAGCCGCGGUAAUUCCAGCUCCAAUAGCGUAUAUUAAAGUUGUUGCAGUUAAAAAGCUCGUAGUUGAACUUCAGACCUGGCUGGGCGGUCCGCUUAACGGCGUGUACUGUCUGGCUGGGUCUUACCUCUUGGUGAGCCGGCGUGCCCUUUAUUGGUGUGCGUCGGGGAACCAGGACUUUUACCUUGAGAAAAUUAGAGUGUUCAAAGCAGGCCUAUGCCUGAAUACAUUAGCAUGGAAUAAUAAAAUAGGACGUGCGGUUCUAUUUUGUUGGUUUCUAGAGUCGCCGUAAUGAUUAAUAGGGAUAGUUGGGGGCAUUGGUAUUGUGUCGCUAGAGGUGAAAUUCUUGGAUUGACACAAGACCAACUACUGCGAAAGCGUUUGCCAAGGAUGUUUUCAUUAAUCAAGAACGAAGGUUAGGGGAUCGAAAACGAUCAGAUACCGUUGUAGUCUUAACAGUAAACUAUGCCGACUAGGGAUCGGACGACCUCAAUUUUGAUGCGUCGUUCGGCGCCUUACGGGAAAC
rnacentral:rRNA from 1 species